AUAAACGCUGGCGGCGUGCCUUAGGCAUGCAAGUCGAACGGGUUGUCGCAAGAUAAUCAGUGGCGGACGGGUGAGUAAUGGUAAGGUAUCUACCUUUUAGAGGGGUAUAGCUUUCCGAAAGGAGGGGUAAUCCCCCGUAUUUUACGUUUGGUAAUUCUUACGUAACAAAGAGCAUAACUGCUUGCUAGAAGAUGAGCCUUACUCCUAUCAGCUUGUUGGUGGGGUAAUGGCCUACCAAGGCUAUGACGGGUAGCUGGACUGAGAGGUCGAACAGCCACAAUAGCACUGAGACACGGGCUAUACACCUACGGGUGGCAGCAACCAGGAAUAUUGGGCAAUGGGCGAAAGCCUGACCCAGCGACGCCGCGUGGAGGAUGAAGGCUUUAGGGUCGUAAACUCCUUUUGCAAGAGAAGCCCCGAUUAUAUCGGGGGACGGUAUCUUGCGAAUAAGCAUCCGCAAACUACGU
rnacentral:rRNA from 1 species